rnacentral:tRNA from 1 species
GGAGAAGUAGCGAAGUGGUCAUAACGCGCCGCACUCGAAAUGCGGUUGUCCGCAAGGGCACGUGGGUUCGAAUCCCACCUUCUCCGCCA